UUAGAGUUUGAUCCUGGCUCAGGAUGAACGCUAGCGGCAGGCCUAAUACAUGCAAGUCGAACGGGAUUUGGGAGCUUGCUCCUGAUGAGAGUGGCGCACGGGUGCGUAACACGUAUGUAACCUACCUUAAUCUGGGGGAUAGCCUCUCGAAAGAGAGAUUAACACCGCAUAACAUCACACCACAGCAUUUUGGAGUGAUCAAAUAUUUAUAGGAUUAAGAUGGGCAUGCGGAACAUUAGCUAGUUGGUAAGGUAAUGGCUUACCAAGGCUACGAUGUUUAGGGGAUCUGAGAGGAUGACCCCCCACACUGGUACUGAGACACGGACCAUACUCCUACGGGAGGCAGCAGUAAGGAAUAUUGGUCAAUGGGCGCAAGCCUGAACCAGCCAUGCCGCGUGCAGGAAGACGGCCCUACGGGUUGUAAACUGCUUUUAUACCGGAAUAAACCUUGAUACGUGUAUCGAGCUGAAUGUACGGUAAGAAUAAGGAUCGGCUAACUCCGUGCCAGCAGCCGCGGUAAUACGGAGGAUCCAAGCGUUAUCCGGUUUUAUUGGGUUUAAAGGGUGCGUAGGUGGCCUAUUAAGUCAGGGGUGAAAAGACGGUAGCUUAACUAUCGCAGUGCCUUUGAUACUGAUAGGCUUGAAUACUCUUGAGGUA
rnacentral:rRNA from 1 species